rnacentral:rRNA from 1 species
GAUGAACGCUGGCGGCGUGCUUAACACAUGCAAGUCGAACGGGAAUGUUUCGCUGAUGCGAUUUCGGUCAAAUCUUGAAGCAUUUUAGUGGCGGACGGGUGAGUAACGCGUGGGUAACCUGCCCUGUACAGGGGGACAACAGUUGGAAACGACUGCUAAUACCGCAUAAGCGCACAGCUUCGCAUGAAGCAGUGUGAAAAACUCCGGUGGUACAGGAUGGACCCGCGUCUGAUUAGAUAGUUGGUGAGGUAACGGCCCACCAAGUCAACGAUCAGUAGCCGGCCUGAGAGGGCGAACGGCCACAUUGGGACUGAGACGCGGCCCAAACUCCUACGGGAGGCAGCAGUGGGGAACAUUGCACAAUGGGGGAAACCCUGAUGCAGCGACGCCGCGUGAGUGAAGAAGUAUUUCGGUAUGUAAAGCUCUAUCAGCAGGGAAGAAAACAAUGACGGUACCUGACUAAGAAGCCCCGGCUAACUACGUGCCAGCCGCCGCCGUAA